ACCUACCUAUAAGACUGGGAUAACUUCGGGAAACCCGGAGCUAAUACCGGAUAACAUUUGGAACCGCAUGGUUCUAAAGUGAAAGAUGGUUUUGCUAUCACUUAUAGAUGGACCCGCGCCGUAUUAGCUAGUUGGUAAGGUAACGGCUUACCAAGGCGACGAUACGUAGCCGACCUGAGAGGGUGAUCGGCCACACUGGAACUGAGACACGGUCCAGACUCCUACGGGAGGCAGCAGUAGGGAAUCUUCCGCAAUGGGCGAAAGCCUGACGGAGCAACGCCGCGUGAGUGAUGAAGGGUUUCGGCUCGUAAAACUCUGUUAUUAGGGAAGAACAAAUGUGUAAGUAACUGUGCACAUCUUGACGGUACCUAAUCAGAAAGCCACGGCUAACUACGUGCCAGCAGCCGCGGUAAUACGUAGGUGGCAAGCGUUAUCCGGAAUUAUUGGGCGUAAAGCGCGCGUAGGCGGUUUCUUAAGUCUGAUGUGAAAGCCCACGGCUCAACCGUGGAGGGUCAUUGGAAACUGGGAAACUUGAGUGCAGAAGAGGAAAGUGGAAUUCCAUGUGUAGCGGUGAAAUGCGCAGAGAUAUGGAGGAACACCAGUGGCGAAGGCGACUUUCUGGUCUGUAACUGACGCUGAUGUGCGAAAGCGUGGGGAUCAAACAGGAUUAGAUACCCUGGUAGUCCACGCCGUAAACGUUGUUUUCUAAGUGUUAGGGGGUUUCCGCCCCUUAGUGCUGCAGCUAACGCAUAAGCAC
rnacentral:rRNA from 1 species